rnacentral:lncRNA from 1 species
ACAACUCCGUUCGGCGAAUCGAAGGAGCACGCGACGGUUCGGUGGGUUUGACCUAGCCUAUGAUAUGAGAAAUGCUCAUAUUUGGCAAAUAUGUUUCGUAAAAUAGAAAUUCAUGCAUUUCCAUGUUAAAUGUAUUUAAUAUGAAUUUUAGAAUGCUUAACAUGCAUAUAUUAUGUAUAGUGAAAUUUUAGACCCCUAUGUGGUAGAGUGCAUGCAUGUGAGACUUAGCAUUCUAGUUAUGAUUGGGAACCAUGAUCCCUAUUAUGAAAACGGAUCUUGCUCUCUUGCAUUUAACCUAUAUGCCAAUUGGGACAUUAGGAAUUUUAGAAGCCUAGAGAGGGCUUGAGAACUUGGACUAUUUGAGAAUUGGGCCAAUGUCAUAAAGAGGCAUUGGGCCCGGGCUAUAGUAGUCAUUAGUAUUAAUGUUUAAAUGAAACAUAGAACAAGAAUUGAGCUUGAUCAGUGUGAUGCUUAAGUGUCAUAAAGAGGCACUAAGCAAGUGAGUGUUGGGACAUCACUUAGAGACAUUGGGCUAGAUCCUUGGGAUGCUAGUGACCUUGCCAUGUUAGAGACAUGCGGAUAGAGUAUUUGAGACAGUGACCUUGCUUGUUUGCCAUUUGUGCUCAUUCGCACAUGCUUGUGAGGGUCGCUCCCUACAAGCCGGCACUCCGGAGUUAGCCUACGCGACUUAUGUUCGCUCGUGCGGUAUUGAGAAGCCUACGGGGUCGAGUGGGACAGACACAUUCCAAGAGUAGGGAUGUUGGGCUACCACAGGCACUUAGGCGGCACAAGCUGGACUACCUUUGGUAGGUCCUUAAUUGGAAAUGGAAAUCGACACGGUGUUGAGUUUAUUAUGAUCACUACUAGUCAGAGAGUAGUAGUAGGAUUACUUGGACUUACUUCUAGCAUAGUUGUGGACAUUUGGGUAUUCAUACAUACAUGUAGUAUGCUAGGAGAUGUUGUUUAUUGCAUCCUUAUAUGCAUUGUAGUCAUGACCAAGUAUUACUUUCAUAUCUGUAUAAAGUAAAGCAUGAUAUUACUUGUGAACAUAUAUAUCCAUGACAAGAUAAAGUCGCAUUAGGAAUGCCAUGUUUAAUUGCAAGUUGUAGCUUAGCAUCCUAAUUAUUAUGCUUUCUAAUAUGCAAUUUACUCGUUACUCUUAUUGUUAGACUUACCCUUUUCUUUGGGGCCUAGUGGUGCACUGAGCUGAGGUCAGUAAUUGCCCACUGGGAACUAUAAAUUAUAGUUCUCACGCCCUCUUUUUCUCGAUGUUUUUCAGAGCCUUCCACGCCGGGUGAGGCCAGGGACCG